CUUGAUGUUCGCUGUGUGUGGGAGACCGUCGGGUCUGCCGGGUAUCCAACCGGUUCGCCAACCUGCACACAGCCGCCACCUAU
rnacentral:antisense_RNA from 1 species